rnacentral:rRNA from 1 species
CCUACGGGAGGCAGCAGUGGGGAAUAUUGGACAAUGGGCGGGAAGCCUGAUCCAGCCAUGCCGCGUGUGUGAAGAAGGUCCUUUUGGUUGUAAAGCACUUUUAAGCGAGGAGGAGGCUACUAGUAUUAAUACUACUGGAUAGUGGACGUUACUCGCAGAAUAAGCACCGGCUAACUCUGUGCCAGCAGCCGCGGUAAUACAGAGGGUUGCGAGCGUUAAUCGGAUUUACUGGGCGUAAAGCGUGCGUAGGCGGCUGAUUAAGUCGGAUGUGAAAUCCCUGAGCUUAACUUAGGAAUUGCAUUCGAUACUGGUCAGCUAGAGUAUGGGAGAGGAUGGUAGAAUUCCAGGUGUAGCGGUGAAAUGCGUAGAGAUCUGGAGGAAUACCGAUGGCGAAGGCAGGCCAUCUGGCCUAAUACCUGACGCUGAGGUACGAAAGCAUGGGGAGCAAACAGGAUUAGAUACCCUGGUAGUCCAUGCCGUAAACGAUGUCUACUAGCCGUUGGGGUCUUUGAGACUUUAGUGCGCAGCUAACGCGAUAAGUAGACCGCCUGGGGAGUACGGUCGCAAGACUAAAACUUAAAGUGAAAUUGACCGGNNGAGAGNGCGAGGACGACACGAGGGAGGAGG